UCGAGGAAUAACCGCCGCUCGCUAUGUUGUCUUGCCUUGCUUUGACCUUUCCUAGUCCCAGAAGUCCGAACCACCAGCUGUGUCCGGUGGGAAGAGGCAUCAGCUACCACACGUGUGCGCAGAUUAUGAGGACGGUUGCAUUGCCAGUCCAUAACUAUGUUGGAGGUGGACAAAAGACAGAAGGGCGAGGGAAAAAACAUCUCAGCAAUGGAGCGAGCAUGUGGUAAGGAUUCCGAACAUUAAAUCACGAAUGUGGGGCUGCUUGUUGGCAGCUUUAACCGGCAGUAUAGGCAUUGCAGGUCCUCACCCACAUUCCAAACACCGGCUGGAAU
rnacentral:lncRNA from 1 species